rnacentral:rRNA from 1 species
GUGGGGAAUAUUGGACAAUGGGCGAAAGCCUGAUCCGGCCAUGCCGCGUGUGUGAAGAAGGUCUUCGGAUUGUAAAGCACUUUAAGUUGGGAGGAAGGGCAGUAAGUUAAUACCUUGCUGUUUUGACGUUACCGACAGAAUAAGCACCGGCUAACUUCGUGCCAGCAGCCGCGGUAAUACGAAGGGUGCAAGCGUUAAUCGGAAUUACUGUGCGUAAAGCGCGCGUAGGUGGUUUUGUAAGUUGGAGGUGAAAUCCCCGGGCUCAACCUGGGAACUGCCUCCAAAACUGCAUGACUAGAGUACGGUAGAGGGUAGUGGAAUUUCCUGUGUAGCGGUGAAAUGCGUAGAUAUAGGAAGGAACACCAGUGGCGAAGGCGACUACCUGGACUGAUACUGACACUGAGGUGCGAAAGCGUGGGGAGCAAACAGGAUUAGAAACCCGGGUAGUCC